GAUGAACGCUGGCGGCGUGCCUAAUACAUGCCAGUCGAGCGAACAGACGAGGAGCUUGCUCCUCUGCCGUUAGCGGCGGACGGGUGAGUAACACGUGGAUAACCUCCCUAUAAGACUGGGAUAACUUCGGGAAACCGGCGCUAAUACCGGAUAAUAUAUUGCACCGCAUGGUUCAAUAGUGAAAGACGGUUUUGCUGUCACUUAUAGAUGGAUCCGCGCCGCAUUAUCUAGUUGGUAAGGUAACGGCUUACCAAGGCAACGAUGCGUAGCCGACCUGAGAGGGUGGUCGGCCACACUGGAACUGAGAGACGGUCCAGACUCCUACGGGAGGCAGCAGUAGGGAAUCUUCCGCAAUGGGCGAAAGCCUGACGGAGCAACGCCGCGUGAGUGAUGAAGGUCUUCGGAUCGUAAAACUCUGUUAUUAGGGAAGAACAAAUGUGUAAGUAACUAUGCACAUCUUGACGGUACCUAAUCAGAAAGCCACGGCUAACUACGUG
rnacentral:rRNA from 1 species